CCGCAAGGUUAAAACUCAAAUGAAUUGACGGGGACCCGCACAAGUAGUGGAGCAUGUGGUUUAAUUCGAAGAUACGCGCAGAACCUUACCAACACUUGACAUGUUCGUCGCGACUCUAAGAGAUUAGAGUUUUCGGUUCGGCCGGACGAAACACAGGUGCUGCAUGGCUGUCGUCAGCUCGUGUCGUGAGAUGUUGGGUUAAGUCCCGCAACGAGCGCAACCCUCACUUUUAGUUGCCAUCAUUUAGUUGGGCACUCUGAAAGAACUGCCAGUGAUAAGCUGGAGGAAGGUGGGGAUGACGUCAAGUCCUCAUGGCCCUUACGUGUUGGGCUACACACGUGCUACAAUGGUAUCUACAACAGGAAGCAAAACUGCGAAGUUAAGCAAAUCCCUAAAAGAUACCUCAGUUCGGAUUGCACUCUGCAACUCGAGUGCAAGAAGCUGGAAUUACUAGUAAUCGUGGAUCAGCGUGCCACGGUGAAUGCGUUCCCGGGUCUUGUACACACCGCCCGUCACACCAUGGGAGUUGGUUCUACCUUAAGGCAAGGUUUCAAACCCUUGACCACGGUAUAGUCAGCGACUGGGGUGAAGUCGUAACAGUAACAC
rnacentral:rRNA from 1 species